AACGAACGCUGGCGGCAUGCCUAACACAUGCAAGUCGAACGAGACCUUCGGGUCUAGUGGCGCACGGGUGCGUAACGCGUGGGAACCUGCCCUUAGGUUCGGAAUAACUCCCCGAAAGGGGUGCUAAUACCGGAUAAUGUCUUCGGACCUAAGAUUUAUCGCCUUUGGAUGGGCCCGCGUUGGAUUAGCUAGUUGGUAGGGUAAAAGCCUACCAAGGCGACGAUCCAUAGCUGGUCUGAGAGGAUGAUCAGCCACACUAGGACUGAGACACGGCCCAGACUCCUACGGGAGGCAGCAGUGGGGAAUAUUGGACAAUGGGCGAAAGCCUGAUCCAGCAAUGCCGCGUGAGUGAUGAAGGCCUUAGGGUUGUAAAGCUCUUUUACCCGGGAUGAUAAUGACAGUACCGGGAGAAUAAGCUCCGGCUAACUCCGUG
rnacentral:rRNA from 1 species